ensembl:lncRNA
AUCCUUUUCAAAAGUUACUCUUUAAUACUUUUUGUCUGUGGUUAUUACAAAGAUGUCAAGCAUUUAACACAGACCCAAUGAAACAGACAAAAACACAUUCAGUUGGUGGACAGAACAUCACAAACACACAAACAGUACUAUAAUCUCCCAUUAACGUACAAAAACACACACUCACAAGGCCACGAAACAAAGAGGGAAAGAGAUUACAGAAUCCCUCUCUUUAUUGACUAAAGUUGUGUUUAUUUCAUUAAAGAUGUUUGAAACCUGUGCUAAGAUGAGCAGAGACGUAACACGAGCUGUGACGCCUCACAGGUAACAGGAAGUGGAAAAACAGCCUCCGACGAAACCAUUCAUGUUAUGAUGCAACUAAGAAAGUAUAUGUACAAAAAUUACAAGACGAUACGGUUUCUUGCUCACACACAAACAAAAAAUAUAUCCACAUCUCUGUGUUGUACAGACAGAUAUAAUCAUAACUUCAUAACAGCACUGAAGUACCUAAAGCAUACAGAUUCCCAUGAACUACCAGCACGCUCCUUCCGAGCAAACGCAUCAGAAUCAGCUCGUAUGGACUUUGUAUGAUUUGAAGUUUCGACCAUCAAUGCGUCUUACUUUUCUCUAUAUUUUAGAGCCAUAUAAAAUCAUUUACAUUUAGGGUAAAUGUCUGAAUACAUAAAAAAAAAAAAAAAGGCACUGCCAUUUGUUAUUCAAGAUAUGACUUCCCAGCCUCUUGCAUGCAUCUCUAAAAUAUAAAUUACCUUUUUUUUUUUCUGUUUUGUUUUAUUUUUUCGCAGUUUUUAUUUGGUUUUAUCGUUUCAUAAACAUAAGAUUCUUUUAAAAUAUAUAUUUUAUAUAUGUAUAUGUACGUCAGCCUGCAGUCAAUACAGGACAUCGGCUCUUGAAAAUAAAAUAAAAAACAAAACAAAAAUCAAAGAGCGUAGUAAAGCAAGACCCUUCAGAAUAGAGGGGUAAAAACAAAUCAAAUAAAAAUAAAAUAAAAUCGAUCAGCAUCAGAGUUCUGAUAUGCUAACGCGCAUAACCUUUUACAAAACAAUGCAACAAAAAAAAGGUAUCCUCAACACUAAAACGCUAGUUUUAUUUUUCUUUUUCGGAAUACUAAGGCAGCAUGUAAAUGUUAACACUGUUACAGCAUUGUAAUUUUGCUGCAUGUUUGCAGUCAAGCGCAUUUAAAAAAAAAAAAAAUUCUAAAGCUUGUUCGCCAUGAGGGAACGAAUCUGAAAAACAUUAACAAACCAGAGCUGAAUACACAUCAUUCUUCGUUAUCCAUUCACAAGCGAGCAGCAUUCUUCGUAAAGAACUACGCUAUUUUUUAACAGUCCACUAUUUUGAAAAUAGGCUCAUUUUCCAACUCCUUGGAGUGUUCCUUUAAGUAUUUGGCAUUAAACACCAUAACAGCUGAGGUGAAAAACAGAAUAACAGCGAAA